ACGAACGCUGGCGGCGUGCUUCACCCCUGCCAGUCGGACGGAAAGGCCCCUUUGGGGGUACUCGAGUGGCGAACGGGUGAGUAACACGUGAGUAACCUGCCCUUGACUUCGGGAUAACUUCAGGAAACUGGGGCUAAUACCGGAUAGGAAUCCUUGCUGCAUGGUGGGGGUUGGAAAGCUUCGGCGGUUUUGGAUGGACUCGCGGCUUAUCAGCUUGUUGGUGGGGUAGUGGCUUACCAAGGCUUUGACGGGUAGCCGGCCUGAGAGGGCGACCGGCCACAUUGGGACUGAGAUACGGCCCAGACUCCUACGGGAGGCAGCAGUGGGGAAUAUUGCACAAUGGGCGGAAGCCUGAUGCAGCAACGCCGCGUGCGGGAUGACGGCCUUCGGGUUGGAAACCGCUUUCAGCAGGGGCGAAGCUUGUGGUGACGGUACCUGCAGAAGAAGCACCGGCUAACUACGUG
rnacentral:rRNA from 1 species